rnacentral:rRNA from 1 species
CCUACGGGUGGCAGCAGUGGGGGAUAUUGCACAAUGGGGGGAACCCUGAUGCAGCGACGCCGCGUGGGUGAAGAAGCGCCUCGGCGCGUAAAGCUCUGUCAGCAGGGAAGAAAAUGACGGGACCUGUAGAAGAAGCCCCGGCUAACUACGUGCCAGCAGCCGCGGUAAUACGUAGGGGGCAAGCGUUAUCCGGAUUUACUGGGUGUAACGGGGGCGCAGACGGCGAUGCAAGCCAGGAGUGAAAGCCCGGGGCUCAACCCCGGGACUGCUCUUGGAACUGCGUGGCUGGAGUGCAGGAGGGGCAGGCGGAAUUCCUGGUGUAGCGGUGAAAUGCGUAGAUAUCAGGAGGAACACCGGUGGCGAAGGCGGCCUGCUGGACUGCAACUGACGUUGAGGCCCGAAAGCGUGGGGAGCAAACAGGAUUAGAUACCCCGGUAGUC